CUCAGGCCACAGCCACUGGGUUAAUGACGACUGUAUACCUGCCACCUGAAGGAGUCUAAGAGAAGAUCAGCACUGGGACAGAAGCCGAAAUGAAAAAAGAAGGUACCAGUGCUUUCAAAUCCCUGGAUUGCUUCCUGCUUUACAUUCAGUACCUAGCUCAUAAGGUCUUUAUAAGGAUUAGGAGGGAGCCAAGCUCAAAGAGGUGCAGUUGGUACCCCAAGGUCCCACAGUUAGAGAGUGAUGGAGCUGGAUUUGAACAAAGGCAGUCUGAUUCCGGGGCCCAUCUUCUGGAGCACCACACCUGAGGUGCAUGUUCCUACACAGGUGCUUUGCCAAAGAAGUGAGCACUGAAACGGCCUCCACUCUGCGCAGGCCACUGGGGCCAAAGCCAGCUCCUGGAGGUGACAAGAUUUCCUGUUGGUGUUUGUCCACAGAUAACAAGCCAUUCACCCUAAAGACAGGAAGGGAGGAAGGAAGGGGCAAACAAAAAUAUGGACAAAGAAAACUUUAAAGCCACUCUAAGAAAUAGAAACAGAGGCCCCCGGACACCCAACAGUCCAGGCCAGCUCUCCCG
rnacentral:lncRNA from 10 species